CGAUUAAACUGUGUUGAAGAAGAUUCCUCGGUGUGGCGUCUUUCUUGCUGGUCAAGGGUGGACGCCGCACCCUUGCAUUUCCCUCAAGUGUAGGAAGUGUGAACCAGUAAUUUGUGGUAGUGGGGAACUGUGUUCAUGCUCUCCUCU
ensembl:snRNA U1 U1 spliceosomal RNA